CGCCUCCUCCCGGGCGGCCCCACCCCUUCCCGCGCCUGCGCGGUGGGAGUAGCGCGGAGUCGGGUGGGGACGCUCGGAGGUCUUUGCUCCCGCGAGGCCGCUGCCUUCCGACCUCCGCUCGGAAGGCCCUUGGGCGUGGAAUGCGGUCUUCUUUGUGCCCUGUGCGCGGCAGGAAGAAGCUCUCCCCGGUAGACGGAAAACACCGGGAGAACAAGCUCUCCUAUAGAGAGAAAGAGAAUCCCAACCAGGCUUCCAGAGCCUGAUGCAGGACUCGAACCCACAAACCAUGAAACUAUGACCUGAGUUGAAAUCAAGAGGCAGAUAGAUGCUCAACCGACCGAGCCACCCAGGCGACCCAGCAUGGCAUCAUUUGACUGAAACACCAGCCAGUCAAAAUAGUAGUUCUGGCUACCAGUUUCUUGACUCAGCCACUGAAAAGGGAUCACUGGAAAGACCCAAAAUGGCCCUUCCAAAUUGCAGAGAAGAUUGAGCUAGAAGUGUUUUCUUCCCCCAGAGCACACUGCUGAUAUUUCUUGGCUCAUCUCACUGAGACCAGACAUGGACCCCCUGCACACAGGGUCAUAGGAUUUGUUCAGCUGUGACCAAGAAUCUCCAGUUCUAUGGCAUAGUAGCUGAAAUGGAAAACUGCAUUUUUUACCUUGACAUCUCCUCCAUUCUAGUUUUUCAGGAUUGAUGAUUGGGGUAAGCGUAAAAACUUUUCAGUGGUUUCUUAGAUAAGAUACCAAAAGCACAAGCAACAACAAAAGAAAAAAUACAUAAAGUGAACUGCAUCAAACUUUAAAACGUUUGUGUUUCAAGGAACAGCACCAAGAAAGAGAAAAGACAGCUCACAGGAUGGGAGAAAAUAUUUGCAAAUCAUGUAUCUAAUACACCUCAGUAAUAAAAAUGCAACCCAACUAAAAAAUGGGCAAAAUCUCUGAGUAGAAAUUUCAACAAAGAAAAUAGAAAGAUGACCAAAAGCACAUGAAAGGACGCUUAGCACCCUUAAUCAUCAGGGAAUGGUAAAUCAAAACCCCCGUGAAAUACCCCUUCACAUGCACCAGGGUAACUAUAAUCAGAAAGAGAGAUAACAACAAGGAUGUGGAGAAGGAGUCCCCAGACACUGCUGGUGGGAAUGUCAAGCGGUGCCAUCACUUCGGAAAAUAGUCUGGCAGUUUCUCAGAUGGUUGAAGAUAGAGUUAACAUCUGCCCCCCAGUAAUGUCACUGCCAGGUGAAUUCAUUUCUCACCAAAGAGAAUUGGAAACACAUGUCUGCACAAAAGCUUGUAUACAAAUGCUCAUAGCAAUAUUAUUCAUAGCCAAAAUAUUCAUAUUCAUAGCAAUAGUAUUCAUAGCCAAAGAGCAGGAAGAAACCUUAAAUAUCCAUCAACUGGUGAGUGGAUAAACAAACGAUGAUUUAUCUGAAGAAUAUGAAACACUAAUUUGAAAAGAUCUCUGUACUCCUAUGUUCACUGCAGCAUUGUUUACAGGAGCCAAGAUAUGGAAGUAGCCCAAGUGUCCGUCCGUAG